AUUUACUCGGAAUGCUAAAUGUGGAGGGGAAAUAACUUACCUCUGUCUUGUUGCCCCUUAAAGCUUGGUGCCAUAUGUGAUCUUCUAGUUCAACGAUAUGGCUGGGCCAGCUCAAAUGGAAGAACCACUUCACUUCAUUCCCUAGCUUUUCUGCUAAUUAUUGCUACAGGUAAGGAUAGGCAACCAGAUGGCUGCUCAUAUUUGCAUACCCUCCAGCAUGGCAGGUUCGGGUGACUGGCAGCUUGCACGACGGGGAGGCAAGUGGGAAAGCUGCCAUUCACAGGCACAGAACCAAUCUGAAUGGAAGUCUUUUUGCUGCAAGGUGCAGUUGCUUUCCCAAUUACUGCCUCAUCCUUUCUUCUCCACCUCAUACAAGCAGGUGCUCUCCUGAAAAAUUCUCGUUCAUGAGAAGGCAGGUAAAGGGUUUUGUGUUAUUUGGGGGGACAUUUGGUGAGUUACAGGCAGAGCCUAUGGAAUUUAUUGACUAGUCUAUAGACUCUAUACCUACAGCAAGCAGUAGGUUCAUUUUACACAUAUAUGUUUUCCUCUAUGAAAACCCUGAUUUACAGACAGUUGUGGGUUAUUCUACUUCCAUUGAGGGGAAGGAAUGCAGUAAUCCUCUCCAUCCCUGCUGGUCUCUUUAGGAAUUCAGCACUCAGCCAGCAUAAAUUUUCUAAACAUGGCUUCUGAUCAACACUAACCAAUCUUUUCUCGGCAACAUAGCUCCCCAAACGAGAAUGAGACAGUGUAGGAGGAAGCAAAUCUGAGGAACCAGGGCAGGCAGAAGUAAGGCGCUGGAGGACAGAGUUAAGCCUGCCCUGGACCCAUUUGAUUUUCUUUUUUUAGCCACUUUAUGAUUAUGUUUAUGAAGGUUUCUAUACCAGCCUAUUAUAUACGUUUCAGGGUGGUGAACAAGAAUAACAGAGGAAAAAUAAACAAAAACAUUAAAGUAUAUGAACA
rnacentral:lncRNA from 1 species